rnacentral:lncRNA from 1 species
CCGAGCAAAACUCUGCAGCUGCAUACAACACGGUCCUGGAAAUUCCUGGAGACUUUUUCGACGGGGCUCUUGUACUCCAGAAGCAAACUUGGAGAGGGGGCCGAUGUCAUUGUUGGCGUGCUGGACACAGGUACAGAGUUGAAAGAAGAGCCUGGGAAUUGAUACCUCUUCCUGCUUCAGGUAUAUGGCCAGAGUCUGCAAGUUUCAGCGACGAUGGAAUGUCAUCUCCUCCCAGCCGAUGGAAAGGAUUCUGCAAUAACACCGGUGUGAAUUCCACGCAGGCCGUGAAUUGCAACAAGUAAGUUAAAGUUAAAACUGUACCGUUCUAGAUUAUAUUUUUUUCCUGCAGCAAGAUCAUCGGAGCUCGCUUCUACAACGCCGAGAGCGCCAGAGAUGACGAAGGCCACGG